rnacentral:lncRNA from 7 species
CUCUCUGAUUGAAAUCCUGACUUGGAUGGAAAGCUGCUGACACAGGUCACAAAGGAUGGUGGAUGCUGUUGGCUGUGCUUGUGGGCAGAGGAAGAGCGAGCCCGCAUGGACACCUCUUGGAAUGAAGCACACUCUGUGAUGGACAUGCUGUGCCUGUCAGGUUCUGCAGCGCCUCAAGGAGGUGGAAGCUCACAGCACCAAGAGCAACCAGCAGGAGGACUAGCCUGGAAGGGCACUUCUGAUUGUGAAGAUGGCUUUGGCUUUGUAUUGGUCCUUAGCUUGCGCAAUCUGCUUUGUCAGUCUUCAGUGAAAACCAGCUCUUUGAAGCCUGUCUGGGGGAAGCUUGUACCUGCACAGGAGUAGCAGUUGGCCAAGAAGACAAAUUGCCUUCCUGGUACAGGCACUUGCCAUAGCUGUUGUGGUGUGCCUUGGAACAUGAUGUCCUCCACAGGUGGCAGCCUGCAGCAAGAAAUUGGUUGGACCUGCAGAGAUACAGCCCAAUGACAGGCUGUAAGUGACACUAUGCAGGAUACAGAAAAUUGUUCUUGGACACUGUGCAGAUCUCUCCAGAGGGCUGGCACUUUGGAUUGCAACAUUACCGAAACGAAAAGCGUGAACACUACAGGAAUUUCUGCUCUAUGGAAAAAUGUUAUUUUUGGAUUCUUCAGGAAGGCGUGCAUAUAAAACCACCGGUUCCCUGGUGAGUGAGCAGUCCUUGAGACCAGCAGAACUUUUGUCUCAAUUUUUGGUUGUGGUAGGUGAUGUCAUAGUUGGACGUACACUGACAUUAAGCUGCAACUGGCACCUUUGUGACACAAGCCUUCAUGUUUUUCGUUGAACGCUUAUGACAACUGAUUUCUUGCAG